AACAUACUCCCUCCGUUCCAAAUUACUCGUCGCAGAAAUGGAUGUAUCUAGAACUAAAAUACAUCUAGAUACAUCCAUAUCUGCGGCAAGUAAUUCGGAACGGAGGGAGUAUUUC
rfam:Triticum aestivum genome assembly, contig: Triticum_aestivum_CS42_TGACv1_scaffold_558796_7AL